UACAGAGGGUGCAAGCGUUAAUCGGAAUUACUGGGCGUAAAGCGUGCGUAGCCGGUUACAUAAGUCGGGUGUGAAAGCCCCGGGCUCAACCUGGGAAUUGCAUUCGAGACUGCGUAGCUAGGGUGCGGAAGAGGGAAGCGGAAUUUCCGGUGUAGCGGUGAAAUGCGUAGAUAUCGGGAGGAACACCAGUGGCGAAGGCGGCUUCCUGGACCGGUUCUGACACUGAGGAGCGAAAGCGUGGGGAGCGAUCCGG
rnacentral:rRNA from 1 species